UAAUUAGUUAUCUUUCUUCACUGCAGACCGUUUGUUCUUCAUCGAUAAGAAAGAACCACUUGAAAAUGUGAUUCCCUAGAUACCAAACCUUCAAUGAAAUAGUAUAAAUAUCACAGAUAAGUAUCUAUAACAAAAGUUAGUUGAAAUCCGACCGCGUUCGAAUGAAAACUACAUCGUACUGCUUAAUUUGUUUGGGCUUAGUCUUUGCAGGAUUGACCAUUCCUAGCGUUCCCGUUCGCACUGGCAUCGAAAAUCUAGUAAUGGACCAAUGCACGUGUUCACUAUUUGACGUUUUAGCGGUGCCGUGUUAUUUAUGUGACCAUGGAGACCAGUGAAUUAGGCACCGCUCAAACGUCAAAUUCGUGAACUCGUGCAUCGGUCCAUACCAGCAGAGAGCCUGAGUUCAUCACGUGAUGAAUUUGUCACCGAUCAAACACUAGAUCCAACGGAAGUUAAACCUCAAAAGCGAUGCUGUAUCGUUUGUUUCUGGUGUAUUUCGUGGCACGGCUAAGCUGUUGAUGGAAAUAGUAGCUAAAAUUUGGCGAAGCUUAUCAUUAUGUCAGAUGUCAGUUAUAAAGGUGAUCAAAAAGUACGGCUGUUGUACAUUAAUUCGGUGCAUGAAUGGUUAGGGUGCAUAGGCAGAAAGUGUGUAUUUUGCUGAUGUUUAAAAAUAUAUCAUUAUAAACUCAAGAAUUUUCAUUGCCUUUAGAAUUGUGUAUUUAUCAUCUAAAAGUGUAUUGUUGUUUAUGUGUUAAUCAUCUGAUCAAGAAAUAAAAAAAAAACAUAAAUAA